UUUAAAGAAAGCGUAAUAGCUCACUGGUCGAGUCGGCCUGCGCGGAAGAUGUAACGGGGCUAAACCAUGCACCGAAGCUGCGGCAGCGACGCUUAUGCGUUGUUGGGUAGGGGAGCGUUCUGUAAGCCGUUGAAGGUGUGCUGUGAGGCAUGCUGGAGGUAUCAGAAGUGCGAAUGCUGACAUAAGUAACGAUAAAGCGGGUGAAAAGCCCGCUCGCCGGAAGACCAAGGGUUCCUGUCC
rnacentral:rRNA from 1 species